GCUGCAGUCAUCUUUCAUCACGCACACCCUGGUUGUGCCUACGCGCUCCAGGGUUGGGCCGCAAAACCUGUCAAAAUUUUUUGUUGAGAGAAGCGAUAUUGCUUGUCAAGUGAUUCGAAUUCGUUAACUCAUGGGUUGUGAUUGACAGAGAAUAAUUUGCGAAGAUAACUGCAAAAAUCAGUAAUGGAGGGCAGUUCAAGAAAGAAAUAUGUUGGUGACAUACAUGGCCUCGACGAAGCGGCCAUCUU